rnacentral:rRNA from 1 species
AUUGAACGCUGGCGGCAUGCUUUACACAUACAAGUCGAACGGUAACAGGGGAGCUUGCUCCCGCUGACGAGUGGCGAACGGGUGAGUAAUGCAUCGGAACGUGCCGAAUAGUGGGGGAUAACGCACCGAAAGGUGUGCUAAUACCGCAUACGCCCUGAGGGGGAAAGUGGGGGACCGCAAGGCCUCACGCUAAUCGAGCGGCCGAUGUCGGAUUAGCUAGUUGGUGGGGUAAAGGCUCACCAAGGCGACGAUCCGUAGCGGGUCUGAGAGGAUGAUCCGCCACACUGGGACUGAGACACGGCCCAGACUCCUACGGGAGGCAGCAGUGGGGAAUUUUGGACAAUGGGGGAAACCCUGAUCCAGCCAUGCCGCGUGUCUGAAGAAGGCCUUCGGGUUGUAAAGGACUUUUGUCCGGGAGGAAACCCUGAUCGUUAAUAGCGGUCGGGACUGACAGUACCGGAAGAAUAAGCACCGGCUAACUACGUGCCAGCCGCCGCUGUAACAC